UGGACCAUAUUUGAAUAAGAAAAAGAAAAUCAAAAUUUGAGAAACUUUUAUAUCUAUGGAGAUUGAGUUAUCCAUGGAGAUUGAGCUCUAUUAUUAGAGAAAAGAGAGAGAUGAAAGAGAAAUGAGAGAAAAGGAGAAGAAGAAUGGAAAAAAAGAGAAAAAGAAACGUGGAAAAAGAGAAAUAAAAAAUAGAAUUGUUUAUUAAUAAUUUGGUGGAAGGGUAAUUUUGACAUUUCUCGUAGGGACUAUGGCAAUUUUGGAAAGAGUGAA
rnacentral:lncRNA from 1 species